AGUGAACGCUGGCGGCAGGCCUAACACAUGCAAGUCGAACGGAAGAACGGUGCUUGCCUGUGGUUACAGGGGGGGAGGGGGGGGUGAUGCAUGGGAAUAUCCCUGUCUGUUGUUUAUGACGGCAUGAGGCAGGCGCUGAUACCGCAUAAGUGCAGAUGGCGUACGGGGGGGAGCUUCGGACCUUCCGCUCUCGGGUGAGUGUAGGUGGGGUUGGCUAGUUGGCGGGGUAAAGGCCUACCAAGGCGACGAUCCGUAGCUGGUCUGAGAGGAUGAUCAGCCACACUGGAACUGAGACACGGUCCAGACUCCUACGGGAGGCAGCAGUGGGGAAUAUUGGACAAUGGGCGAAAGCCUGAUCCAGCCAUGCCGCGUGUGUGAAGAAGGCCUUCGGAUUGUAAAGCCCUUUUAGUGGGGAUGAAGGGCAGUAGGUUAAUACCUUGCUGUUUUGACGGUACCAACAGAAUAAGCACCGGCUAACUUCGUG
rnacentral:rRNA from 1 species